AAAAAAAAGAAAAAAAGAAAAAAAGAAAAAAGCGCAUACUGAAAAAACAAGAAGACGCACGCUUGUUGAGUUCUUAUUCCAUUCGAGCCGCGAUGGAGAAGAAACUCAGCCUCCUUCAAACGGUGGCGGCGGCGGGUGUCUUCUCCGCCGUCUCCUUCUGGUACGGGUUCAUGUUCGGGAGAGAAUCCGCGCGCAAGGAGCUCGGCGCGCUCAUCGAGGAGCUCCGGCGCGGCAACGCGUCGUCCCCCGACGAAGCUCCUCAUCGUAGCCCCUGAGCAGCUUUACAAUUGCUUCUCUAAAGAAGACGGCCGACAAAUUGAAUGAAUGGAAAGAUCAAUCCUGACGUCCUGUUGUGUGCGAGUCGUCAGCUGAAGCACAAUCAACGGUAUGGCUUGCUAUUCUUUUAUGGCUUGCUAUUAUCAAUCUAGUUCCACGAGGCGAUAUCGGAAGCUCUUUACGAUUAUACAUACUAAUUGUUGCUUAGGAGAUCACAGAGAAUUUUGAAAUCUUUCACAUUGUUAAUUCUCCAGUAGAUUGUGUCAGAUAACCUCAAGUUUAUAUCUACUCUCAUCAUUCGAAAGUAAUCACAUUGUUGAAGUUGCAUAUGGUGUUAUAUUUUUGUUUAUGGUCGUUCCCAAUCAGAGAUUCAGAAUUCAAGUCGUAUCCUUUGGACAGUGUAGAAAGAUAUGUUAAAAUAAUAAAAUGUCUUAUUUUGGUGUGUGUUA